UUGUAAAACCAUGGCCGCAGUCUGUGCACAAGAGCAAGGAGGCGGUAUGCGUCCCAUAGCAUUCUUUUCCAAAGUAGUUCGAGCUCCGGUACAGGGUAUGCCGGCGUGUCUCAGAGCAUUGAUAGCAUGUGCAAUGGCUGUUGAAACUGCUACUACUAUCACACUAGGGCAUCCUACAAUACUUCAUGCCAGUCACCAGGUCACUCAGCUGACAAAUAUCACCGUACAACACAUGACAGCCCAGCGCUUCAGUGGUUAUGAGAUUUUUUUUUUUUAAUACCCAGAAUCUGUUUUUGGAUUAAACAAGGUUUAGAGAAAGAUCAAAAUGAUCUGUUCUCUAAAGAGGGGAGAAUAGGCAUACUUGAAGAAUAGGCAUACUUGAAGAAAGCUGAUUUAUUUUCAUCAGUCAGGCACAUAGCAAGCACCAUUCAAUUCUUCAUGAAUUCAUUUUAUAUUAGGAAUCUCAGGUAGCAUGUACAGUCUUUUGUAAGAUCGUGUGAACACUGCUCUUUUUACACACUUACAGAUUGAUUUUAUUCAUGUAUCCAAAAUUGGUAAGAAACAGCAAUACUUACUGGUCAUAGUUAAUCAGUUUAGUAGAUGGCAUGAGGCCUUUGUGAUAUCUAGGGAAGAUGCUAGUGAAGUUUAUUGUUACUGAAAUUAUUCCCAGGUAUGGCUGCCCUCUGCAGAUUGGCUCUGAUAAUGGCCCGGUUUUUGCCAGUGGGGUUGCCCAGGAACUUGCUAAAUUCUUGCAAAUUACCUGGCAGUUUCAUAUACCCUAUCAUCCACAGAAUACAGGGGUAGUUGAAAGGAUGAAUAGGACUAUUAAGGAAAAGCCCAGAAUUUACCCAGGAACAUGGGUAAAUUGGACUAGAUAUCUACCAGCUAUUUUAGCUGAGAUAAGAAUGAAUCCCCACAAGGUGACUAAAUUAUCUCCAUUUGAGAUUUUGAUGGGAUGACCUUUUCCCACACCCUGGGCCAGGGAACCGCUUGUUAUAAUGUCUGGGGAUUUACAGCUAAUACAAGAACAAUAUGUACAGGAAUUGUUGAUAAAACUGAAUGGUAUGUAUGACAAUGUUUCUUCGCAGUUUUCCCUUACCUUCACAGGAACCUACUCAUUCAUACCAGCCCGGUGACAAGGUGUAUAUCCGUCAGCUGAACAGGACCAAGAAAGGAGGAUACCCUUUUGGACCACCUGCUACUGUGAUUGCUGUACCCAUAACCGCUGUCCUCACAGAUUCCCAUGACAUCUGGAUUCACGCAUCCCGAGUGAAGCUGUGUCCAAAGAGGGGAACCAAGGAAGACAACACCACUCCUCGCUCGGAA